rnacentral:rRNA from 1 species
UACAGAGGGUGCAACCGUUGUUCGGAAUUACUGGGCGUAAAGCGCGUGUAGGCUGCUCGGAAAGUCGGAUGUGAAAGCCCUGGGCUCAACCUAGGAAGUGCAUUCGAAACUUCCGAGCUGGAGUGCUGGAGAGGAAGGCGGAAUUCUCGGUGUAGAGGUGAAAUUCGUAGAUAUCGAGAGGAACACCGGUGGCGAAGGCGGCCUUCUGGACAGCCACUGACGCUGAGACGCGAAAGCGUGGGGAGCAAACAGG